rnacentral:rRNA from 1 species
CAUGCAAGUCGAGGGGCAGCAUGGUCUCUUCUUGCUAAGGCCGAUGGCGACCGGCGCACGGGUGAGUAACACGUAUCCAACCUGCCGUCUACUCUUGGACAGCCUUCUGAAAGGAAGAUUAAUACAAGAUGGCAUCAUGAGUCCGCAUGUUCACAUGAUUAAAGGUAUUCCGGUAGACGAUGGGGAUGCGUUCCAUUAGAUAGUAGGCGGGGUAACGGCCCACCUAGUCUUCGAUGGAUAGGGGUUCUGAGAGGAAGGUCCCCCACAUUGGAACUGAGACACGGUCCAAACUCCUACGGGAGGCAGCAGUGAGGAAUAUUGGUCAAUGGGCGAGAGCCUGAACCAGCCAAGUAGCGUGAAGGAUGACUGCCUUAUGGGUUGUAAACUUCUUUUAUAAAGGAAUAAAGUCGGGUAUGGAUACCCGUUUGCAUGUACUUUAUGAAUAAGGAUCGGCUAACUCCGUGCCAGCAGCCGCGGUAAUACGGAGGAUUCGAGCGUUAUCCGGAUUUAUUGGGUUUAAAGGGAGCGUAGAUGGAUGUUUAAGUCAGUUGUGAAAGUUUGCGGCUCAACCGUAAAAUUGCAGUUGAUACUGGAUAUCUUGAGUGCAGUUGAGGCAGGCGGAAUUCGUGGUGUAGCGGUGAAAUGCUUAGAUAUCACGAAGAACUCCGAUUGCGAAGGCAGCCUGCUAAGCUGCAACUGACAUUGAGGCUCGAAAGUGUGGGUAUCAAACAGGAUUAGAUACCCUGGCAGUCCACACGGUAAACGAUGAAUACUCGCUGUUUGCGAUAUACGGCAAGCGGCAAAGCGAAAGCGUUAAGUAUUCCACCUGGGGAGUACGCCGGCAACGGUGAAACUCAAAGGAAUUGACGGGGGCCCGCACAAGCGGAGGAACAUGUGGUUUAAUUCGAUGAUACGCGAGGAACCUUACCCGGGCUUAAAUUGCAGAUGAAUUACGGUGAAAGCCGUAAGCCGCAAGGCAUCUGUGAAGGUGCUGCAUGGUUGUCGUCAGCUCGUGCCGUGAGGUGUCGGCUUAAGUGCCAUAACGAGCGCAACCCUUGUUGUCAGUUACUAACAGGUUCUGCUGAGGACUCUGACAAGACUGCCAUCGUAAGAUGUGAGGAAGGUGGGGAUGACGUCAAAUCAGCACGGCCCUUACGUCCGGGGCUACACACGUGUUACAAUGGGGGGUACAGAGGGCCGCUACCACGCGAGUGGAUGCCAAUCCCAAAAACCUCUCUCAGUUCGGACUGGAGUCUGCAACCCGACUCCACGAAGCUGGAUUCGCUAGUAAUCGCGCAUCAGCCACGGCGCGGUGAAUACGUUCCCGGGCCUUGUACACACCGCCCGUCAAGCCAUGGGAGCCGGGGGUACCUGAAGUGCGUAACCGCGAGGAGCGCCCUAGGGUAAAACUGGUGACUGGGGCUAAG